GGAGUCGGCUGAGCAGUCGCUAUCCCGGUUUUUGGUGUGUUCUUUUAGAGCGUAUUGAGGCUGGGAUGGAGGAAAGUCCGGGCUCCAUAGGGCAGAGUGCCAGGUAACGCCUGGGAGGCGCGAGCCUACGGAAAGUGCCGCAGAAAAUAUACCGCCUAAGCAGUUCGCUGCCGGUAAGGGUGAAAUGGUGCGGUAAGAGCGCACCGCGCGGCUGGUAACAGGCGUGGCAGGGUAAACCCCACUCGGAGCAAGACCAAAUAGGGAUCCAUAGGCGUGGCCCGCGCUGGAUCCGGGUAGGUUGCUUGAGGUGUACGGCGACGUGCAUCCCAGAUGAAUGACUGUUCUCGACAGAACCCGGCUUACAGGCCGGCUCCCACC
rnacentral:RNase_P_RNA from 1 species